rnacentral:rRNA from 1 species
UACGGAGGAUGCGAGCGUUAUCCGGAUUUAUUGGGUUUAUAGGGUGCGUAGGCGGGCUUUUAAGUCAGCGGUAAAAAUUCGGGGCUCAACCCCGUCCGGCCGUUGAAACUGGGGGUCUUGAGUGGGCGAGAAGAAGGCGGAAUGCGUGGUGUAGCGGUGAAAUGCAUAGAUAUCACGCAGAACCCCGAUUGCGAAGGCAGCCUUCCGGCGCCCUACUGACGCUGAGGCACGAAAGUGCGGGGAUCGAACAGG